AGAGUUUGAUCCUGGCUCAGGACGAACGCUGGCGGCACGCUUAACACAUGCAAGUCGAACGAGAGAAGAGGAGCUUGCUUUUCUGAUCUAGUGGCGGACGGGUGAGUAACACGUGAGCAAUCUGCCUUUCAGAGGGGGAUACCGAUUGGAAACGAUCGUUAAUACCGCAUAACAUAAUUGAACCGCAUGAUUUGAUUAUCAAAGAUUUAUCGCUGAAAGAAGAGCUCGCGUCUGAUUAGCUAGUUGGUAAGGUAACGGCUUACCAAGGCGACGAUCAGUAGCCGGACUGAGAGGUUGAUCGGCCACAUUGGGACUGAGACACGGCCCAGACUCCUACGGGAGGCAGCAGUGGGGAAUAUUGCACAAUGGAGGAAACUCUGAUGCAGCGAUGCCGCGUGAGGGAAGAAGGUUUUAGGAUUGUAAACCUCUGUCUUCAGGGACGAAAAAAGACGGUACCUGAGGAGGAAGCUCCGGCUAACUACGUGCCAGCAGCCGCGGUAAUACGUAGGGAGCGAGCGUUGUCCGGAAUUACUGGGUGUAAAGGGAGCGUAGGCGGGAUCGCAAGUCAGAUGUGAAAACUAUGGGCUUAACCCAUAAACUGCAUUUGAAACUGUGGUUCUUGAGUGAAGUAGAGGUAAGCGGAAUUCCUAGUGUAGCGGUGAAAUGCGUAGAUAUUAGGAGGAACAUCAGUGGCGAAGGCGGCUUACUGGGCUUUAACUGACGCUGAGGCUCGAAAGCGUGGGGAGCAAACAGGAUUAGAUACCCUGGUAGUCCACGCCGUAAACGAUGAUUACUAGGUGUGGGGGGACUGACCCCUUCCGUGCCGCAGCAAACGCAAUAAGUAAUCCACCUGGGGAGUACGACCGCAAGGUUGAAACUCAAAGGAAUUGACGGGGGCCCGCACAAGCAGUGGAGUAUGUGGAUUAAUUCGAAGCAACGCGAAGAACCUUACCAGGUCUUGACAUCGUAUGCAUAGCUCAGAGAUGAGUGAAAUCUCUUCGGAGACAUAUAGACAGGUGGUGCAUGGUUGUCGUCAGCUCGUGUCGUGAGAUGUUGGGUUAAGUCCCGCAACGAGCGCAACCCUUACUGUUAGUUGCUACGCAAGAGCACUCUAGCAGGACUGCCGUUGACAAAACGGAGGAAGGUGGGGAUGACGUCAAAUCAUCAUGCCCCUUAUGACCUGGGCCUCACACGUACUACAAUGGCUGUCAACAGAGGGAAGCAAAGCCGCGAGGUGGAGCGAACCCCUAAAAGCAGUCCUAGUUCGGAUUGUAGGCUGCAACCCGCCUACAUGAAGUCGGAAUUGCUAGUAAUCGCAGAUCAGCAUGCUGCGGUGAAUACGUUCCCGGGCCUUGUACACACCGCCCGUCACGCCAUGGGAGUCGGUAACACCCGAAGCCUGUAGUCUAACCGCAAGGAGGACGCAGUCGAAGGUGGGAUUGAUGACUGGGGUGAAGUCGUAACAAGGUA
rnacentral:rRNA from 1 species